rnacentral:rRNA from 1 species
GACGAACGCUGGCGGCGUGCCUAAUACAUGCAGGUAGAACGCUGAAGCGAGGAGCUUGCUCUUCUUGGAUGAGUUGCGAACGGGUGAGUAACGCGUAGGUAACCUGCCUUGUAGCGGGGGAUAACUAUUGGAAACGAUAGCUAAUACCGCAUAACAAUGGAUGACACAUGUCAUUUAUUUGAAAGGGGCAAUUGCUCCACUACAAGAUGGACCUGCGUUGUAUUAGCUAGUAGGUGAGGUAAUGGCUCACCUAGGCGACGAUACAUAGCCGACCUGGGAGGGUGAUCGGCCACACUGGGACUGAGACAAGGCCCAGACUCCUAAGGGAGGCAGCAGUAGGGAAUCUUCGGCAAUGGGGGCAAACCUGACCGAGCAACGCCGGGUGAGUGAAGAAGGUUUUCGGAUCGUAAAGCUCGGUUGUAAGUCAAGAACGGGUGUGAGAGUGGAAAGUUCACACUGUGACGGUAGCUUACCAGAAAGGGACGGCUAACUACGUG